AAAAUAAAAAAAUUAUGAAAACAAAGAAGAACAAAAGACAUCUUUUGGGAUUGUAGAAAGAAUCUCCGCAAGGUGCAUCUGUACUUAGAAUCAGAGCCGAGGAGGAAUGUUGGACCCAUUUGGCCGGAGCCGUUGUUUUGAAGGCGCUCAACUUUUUGGUGCAUAAGGUUGUGCAGAAGAAAAAGGAGGGAUUCUAAGAACCUCAAAAAAAAAAAAGCUGCAGAGAAGCGUUCUGAAUGGAUAGCACCUUUUUUUACGUCACCGAGAGAUGCAACCAACGGCCACAAGAGGGUAGGAUGUUGGAGAAAAGACUCAUUUUGCCAGCAUCUCCAAGAACGAUGCAUCUACCAGACGACGUGCUAACCGUAGACCAACCUCAUGGGUGGAAAAUCAGAAAUAAAAGAAAUCAACUCUUUGGAAUACAACUCACGGAGGAAGACGCUGGCAUUGGGACGAACAGGGGUUAAUUGUUAUCUUUGGUUAUCUAGCUGUAUGAGUGUUGUCAAUUCUUCAUAAAGCUAGAUAACCGAAAGUAAAAAUAACCCCAUUACGCGCCUAGUCUAUGGUAGUUUCAGCUGAAGGCACCGAAAAAAAACGUCAAAGGAUACAAGAAGGAAUUCUGGACCAUCCUGGAGCUGAUGGACUGUUAAAAAAAAAAAAAAAAGUAUGUUAAUUUGCUUCUGGAAUAUUAUCUGGAGGUAGGACUUUUUUUAUCAACCACCUUUCCAUGAGGUAUAUAAAAUAUGAAUGACCUUACCUGCUAAAUUAUGGACUGUUCCAAGACUCCACUGUUCUCGAAUCAAGCCUUGGCUGGGGUGUUACAGGUAUUAGGAAAAAAAAAUAAAAUAAAAAAAAAAGAAUUUUCAAGACAGACUUUUAAAAUAUGGAAGUGAACAACUACAGAUUGGAUUGGUAUGAAUCAGGAAUUUCUAAUCAUCUAACAAGGACAUGACGCAAUGUAACCCCUCUGAAUGGAAUAUGGUAUUUUAUUUAUUACCCAAAAACAAAUCUUUAUACUUUUGGUUUGGGAGCCAGCUUGGGACUAAAACGCAACAGUUUUGACAGACCUUUUUUUUUUAUAAUUUUUUUUAUAUAUGUUUUUUAAAUAAAACACUUUUUUGGAAUUAAAACAAGCAAAAAAAAGAAGAAAAAUAAAUAAUUUUCAGACAAUAUAACUUGUAUAAUCAUCAAACUUUUUAUUUUUUUGUCCUACAAACAAAAAUAUUUUAAUCAUUUUAAUGUUUUUAGCAUUUUUUAUUUGGUUGGUUUAUUUUACCCCAACCAACCAACACACAAUUUGUGACAGUUGGGCUAGUUGAGUUGCUUAGCUCUUCUUUGAUUUAGCCUGUAUAAUUAACUUGUUUUCCACUAGACUGGAUCCUAAGAAAACUUUUUAGUUCAGUCUGUGGAAGCGACAUUUGACCAGAGGUCUCUGCCUGCUGAGAAGGAUUGGGUUUUUUAAUCCCACCCCCCCCCCCCCCUAAGUAAGGGGAUUAGGCAGUUAGAAAAUGCCAUAAAAUGAAAGGUCUGCUGAAACAAGAGCUAAACACGGACAAGGGAUAUUUAACGCUCGUCAUUGCUGCUCCCUCUCGCAGCUAAUAGGGUUAAGUUGUAAUUUGGAGAGGGUGAUUUAAAAAAAUAAAUAACUUGGACCUAAUCAGAUUGGGACAGCGGAGGGUUAAAACAAACACAAACGAAACUUUUCUGUAGUUAAACCUAGCUGAAUGAAUUUUUAAAAUAAAUGCAUUGAUUAUUUAUUUGGAAGCCUUUGAUUAAAAGGGAUUUCUUUUUUCACUGGUGUGGAGUCAUGAGUAUAGUAUUAUUUUUUUGUCUUCAUGAGUAUAGUAUCGAAACUAUAGUAGUAGUCUUCAAACCUGUUGCAAAGGGAACAUAGUCUAGUGGGACAGAAGUUUAUGAGAUUACUUUGUAAUACAACAGAGAGAAAGACGUCCUAAACUGUUAAUUAGUCCCAAGGAGUUUUCUAACUUGUAGUUAAAAAAAAAAAAU